AGGAUAAUAGUUAACUAUAACGUUUGACUUGCAUUCAAAAAGUGUUGAUCCGUCAACUUAUCUUA
rnacentral:tRNA from 2 species